rnacentral:rRNA from 1 species
CAGGCCUAACACAUGCAAGUCGAACGGUCGCAAGGAGAGCUUGCUCUCUGGAUCAGUGGCGAACGGGUGAGUAACACGUGAGCAAUCUGCCCCUGACUCUGGGAUAAGCGCUGGAAACGGCGUCUAAUACCGGAUACGAGCUGCGAAGGCAUCUUCAGCAGCUGGAAAGAACUUCGGUCAGGGAUGAGCUCGCGGCCUAUCAGCUAGUUGGUGAGGUAAAGGCUCACCAAGGCGUCGACGGGUAGCCGGCCUGAGAGGGUGACCGGCCACACUGGGACUGAGACACGGCCCAGACUCCUACGGGAGGCAGCAGUGGGGAAUAUUGCACAAUGGGCGCAAGCCUGAUGCAGCAACGCCGCGUGAGGGACGACGGCCUUCGGGUUGUAAACCUCUUUUAGCAGGGAAGAGCGAAAGUGACGGUACCUGCAGAAAAAGCACCGGCUAACUACGUGCCAGCAGCCGCGGUAAUACGUAGGGUGCAAGCGUUAUCCGGAAUUAUUGGGCGUAAAGAGCUCGUAGGCGGUUUGUCGCGUCUGCUGUGAAAACUGGGGGCUCAACCCCCAGCCUGCAGUGGGUACGGGCAGACUAGAGUGCGGUAGGGGAGAUUGGAAUUCCUGGUGUAGCGGUGGAAUGCGCAGAUAUCAGGAGGAACACCGAUGGCGAAGGCAGAUCUCUGGGCCGUAACUGACGCUGAGGAGCGAAAGGGUGGGGAGCAAACAGGCUUAGAUACCCUGGUAGUCCACCCCGUAAACGUUGGGAACUAGUUGUGGGGUCCAUUCCACGGAUUCCGUGACGCAGCUAACGCAUUAAGUUCCCCGCCUGGGGAGUACGGCCGCAAGGCUAAAACUCAAAGGAAUUGACGG